UGGGGAAUUUUGCACAAUGGGCGAAAGCCUGAUGCAGCAACGCCGCGUGUGUGAUGAAGGUCUUCGGAUCGUAAAGCACUUUCGACCGGGAAGAACACCUCUUGGCCAAUAUCCAAGAGCCUGACGGUACCGGGAGAAGAAGCACCGGCUAACUCUGUGCCAGCAGCCGCGGUAAUACAGAGGGUGCAAGCGUUGUUCGGAAUUAUUGGGCGUAAAGCGCGUGUAGGCGGCAGUGCAAGUCGCGUGUGAAAGCCCUCGGCUCAACCGAGGAAGUGCGCGCGAAACUGCAUUGCUUGAGUACCGGAGAGGAUGGCGGAAUUCCCGAAGUAGAGGUGAAAUUCGUAGAUAUCGGGAGGAACACCGGUGGCGAAGGCGGCCAUCUGGACGGAUACUGACGCUGAGACGCGAAAGCGUGGGUAGCAAACAG
rnacentral:rRNA from 1 species